rnacentral:rRNA from 1 species
GACGAACGCUGGCGGCGUGCCUAAUACAUGCAAGUCGAACGAGAGCAACCGGUGCUUGCACUGGUCAAUCUAGUGGCGAACGGGUGAGUAACACGUGGGUAACCUGCCCAUCAGAGGGGGAUAACAUCCGGAAACGGAUGCUAAAACCGCAUAGGUCUUCGAACCGCAUGGUUUGAAGAGGAAAAGAGGCGCAAGCUUCUGCUGAUGGAUGGACCCGCGGUGCAUUAGCUAGUUGGUGAGGUAACGGCUCACCAAGGCCGUGAUGCAUAGCCGACCUGAGAGGGUGAUCGGCCACAUUGGGACUGAGACACGGCCCAAACUCCUACGGGAGGCAGCAGUAGGGAAUCUUCCGCAAUGGACGCAAGUCUGACGGGGCAACGCCGCGUGAGUGAAGAAGGUGUUCGGAUCGUAAAACUCUGUUGUUAGAGAAGAACAAGUGCUAGAGUAACUGUUAGCGCCUUGACGGUAUCUAACCAGAAAGCCACGGCUAACUACGUG